UACAGAGGUCCCAAGCGUUGUUCGGAUUCACUGGGCGUAAAGGGUGCGUAGGCGGUCGGUUAAGUCUGACGUGAAAUCUUCAAGCUCAACUUGGAAACUGCGUCGGAUACUAUUCGGCUAGAGGAAUGGAGGGGAGACUGGAAUACUUGGUGUAGCAGUGAAAUGCGUAGAUAUCUGGAGGAACACCGGAGGCGAAGGCGGAUCACUGGACUGCCACUGACGCUGAGGCGCGAAAGCUAGGGGAGCAAACAGG
rnacentral:rRNA from 1 species